rnacentral:rRNA from 1 species
UUGUCUCAAAGAUUAAGCCAUGCAUGUCUCAGUACAAACCGAAACAAGGUGAAACCGCGAAAGGCUCAUUAUAUCAGUUAUGGUUCAUUAGAUCGUACUCACAUUUACUUGGAUAACUGUGGUAAUUCUAGAGCUAAUACAUGCAAACAGAACUCCGACCGGAGACGGAAGGAGCGCUUUUAUUAGAUCAAAACCAACGCGGGCGGCGAGGGCCGGCGGCCUCGGUCGUCGCGUCUUCGCCGUCUCAAACAUAGCUCGCACGACGAAUCUGAAUAACUUUAUGCCGAUCGCACGGUCACGCACCGGCGACGCAUCUUUCAAAUGUCUGCCUUAUCAACUUUCGAUGGUAGGUUAUGCGCCUACCAUGGUUGUAACGGGUAACGGGGAAUCAGGGUUCGAUUCCGGAGAGGGAGCCUGAGAAACGGCUACCACAUCCAAGGAAGGCAGCAGGCGCGCAAAUUACCCACUCCCGGCACGGGGAGGUAGUGACGAAAAAUAACGAUACGGGACUCAUCCGAGGCCCCGUGAUCGGAAUGAGCACACUUUAAAUCCUUUAACGAGGAUCAAUUGGAGGGCAAGUCUGGUGCCAGCAGCCGCGGUAAUUCCAGCUCCAAUAGCGUAUAUUAAAGUUGCUGCGGUUAAAAAGCUCGUAGUCGAAAUUGUGUCCUCGGCCGCCGGUUCGUCGCUCGCGACGCCAACUGGCGCGCACGCUGGACGUCCAGCCGGUACUACGAACUCGCCUACGGGGUGCUCUUAACCGAGUGUCCAGGCGGGGGCCGGCAACGUUACUUUGAACAAAUUAAAGUGCUUAAAGCAGGCUAAAUUGCGCUCGCAUACACGCGCAUGGAAUAAUCGAAUAGGACCUCCGUUCUAUUUUGUUGGGUUUUUGUGGAACGACAGACGGAGGUAAUGAUCAAUGGGUGCGGAUGGGGGCAUUCGUAUUGCGACGUUAGAGGUGAAAUUCUUGGAUCGUCGCAAGACGGACUUAAGCGAAAGCAUUUGCCAAAAACGCUUUCAUCGAUCAAGAACGAAAGUUAGAGGUUCGAAGGCGAUCAGAUACCGCCCUAGUUCUAACCAUAAACUAUGCCAGCUAGCGAUCCGCCGAAGUUACUUCUAUGACUCGGCGGGCAGCUUCCGGGAAACCAAAGCUUUCGGGUUCCGGGGGAAGUAUGGUUGCAAAGCUGAAACUUAAAGGAAUUGACGGAAGGGCACCACCAGGAGUGGAGCCUGCGGCUUAAUUUGACUCAACACGGGAAACCUCACCAGGCCCGGACACCGGAAGGAUUGACAGAUUGAGAGCUCUUUCUUGAUUCGGUGGGUGGUGGUGCAUGGCCGUUCUUAGUUGGUGGAGCGAUUUGUCUGGUUAAUUC